rnacentral:rRNA from 1 species
CGUAGGUGACCUGCGGAAGGACAUUA